AACGAACGCUGGCGGCAUGCCUAACACAUGCAAGUCGAACGAGACCUUCGGGUCUAGUUGCGCACGGGUGCGUAACGCGUGGGAACCUGCCCUUAGGUUCGGAAUAACGCCCCGAAAGGGGGGCUAAUACCGGAUAAUGGCUGCUGACCAAAGAUUUAUCGCCUUUGGAGGGGGCCGCGUUGGAUUAGGCAGUUGGUAGGGUAAAAGCCUACCAAGGCGACGAUCCAUAUCUGGUCUGAGAGGAUGAUCAGCCACACUGGGACUGAGACACGGCCCAGACUCCUACGGGAGGCAGGAGUGGGGAAUAAUGGACAAUGGGCGAGAGACUGAUCGAGCAAUGCCGCGUGAGAGAUGAAGGCCUUAGGGUUGUAAAGCUCUUUUACCCGGGAUGAUAAUGACAGUACCGGGAGAAUAAGCUCCGGCUAACUCCGUG
rnacentral:rRNA from 1 species